rnacentral:rRNA from 1 species
GCUGGCGGCGUGCCUAUUACAUGCAAGUCGAGCGAACAGAUAAGGAGCUUGCUCCUUUGACGUUAGCGGCGGACGGGUGAGUAACACGUGGGUAACCUACCUAUAAGACUGGAAUAACUCCGGGAAACCGGGGCUAAUGCCGGAUAACAUAUAGAACCGCAUGGUUCUAUAGUGAAAGAUGGUUUUGCUAUCACUUAUAGAUGGACCCGCGCCGUAUUAGCUAGUUGGUAAGGUAAUGGCUUACCAAGGCGACGAUACGUAGCCGACCUGAGAGGGUGAUCGGCCACACUGGAACUGAGACACGGUCCAGACUCCUACGGGAGGCAGCAGUAGGGAAUCUUCCGCAAUGGGCGAAAGCCUGACGGAGCAACGCCGCGUGAGUGAUGAAGGGUUUCGGCUCGUAAAACUCUGUUAUUAGGGAAGAACAUAUGUGUAAGUAACUGU